GAUAUGCUUGGGUCAGUCACUUACCUAUCACUUCCUUUUGUUUAAACCAGGGCAAAUGUUCUGGUUGAGUGGCUGACCCUAUUGUUCUUAGCUUGCAUGCUUUUUAACCCUCACUUGCACCUUAGUCACUGGACAGAGAAGUCACCAACAGACUGCAGCAAGUUUACUAAUUUCAGUUACUUCACUACUGUCAAGGGUGUAAAACAAUGAACUAAACCCAGUCGUCGAAUAAAUCGAAUCACACCC